GAUAGACUGGGCUGGGGCAACGCUGAUGAAAGGCAAAUUCCUGAGAGAAAAAUCACCCAGAUUUUUCAGUGCCUUCUCUAGCUUUCUAGAAGUUGUUAUGAGUGGACCUGACUACCUAGAGAGAGUAAUACAGAAGCUCCGUGCCGAUCACAGCUACCUCAUUACCAUGUUCCUCCAAGAUGGCCGCCCCUGAGGAGAAUCAUCAACUGGGCUUUACGGAAGAGAGAAAUCCAAACGACCAUCAGCAACAAAUGAAAGACUGAAGUUGAAAGGAAAUCCAUAAUUUUUGAAUGCUGGCCGAGGUCUGUGACCUCUGACUGAAUGGUUUCCAAGCUCCGAAUUCCUAGGUGAUGUUUUCAUUUGUUCACACUUGCUGAAGAAGGGAAAGGCUCUCUGAUUUACGUGUAAGCAAAACAAUCUAAACAGUAGGAUAAAAUCAUGUUGGAAUGGAGUUCUGUGUGGAUGCUCCUUUGAACCAAAUCAGUUCCACAACUGACCCUGUCAGGGACAUAUAAAUUUAGCAUUUUGGUGUGGAUACAGAAGACGAGAUUAACACAGAUCAAGUAACAUGGAAAUAAAAAAGGAGACAAUGCUGGAUGAUACAGGGGCAGCCAACAAGAGGAGAAAACCCAAGCAUUGGCAAAUGCCUCAUUAUCCAAAGAACACUGAGGUGUGGAGCAAAACUGUGUUGAAUGAACUGUAGAUGGAAAUUCUCUCCUUCCCACCGAGGAGCCGCUGCAGGUUGCAGACUCCCAGAAUGCCACACUGAGAAGAGGAGGGCUAAAAUUCUAGAGCAGAAUCCCUGGGGCAGCCCCUGCUGAAGAAGGGUGCAUCUGUUGAGAAUCUCAUCACCGCCCCCACCCCGCCCAGCCUUCAAUUUAGAGGAAUUUCUAGUUCACGCAGAAUGAAGACAAGAUCACAUAAGUGAGGACGACGCCCCAUUUACAAGUGUGAUUUGGAAGACUGAAGUGGAAACCUUGGGAAGGGGCCUCAGAGUAUGUCAGCUGGGGUCAGACGGGAACAGGAGUCUGGCUCAACACACAUUUAUUGCACUCCUGUUUCAUGCCAAGAAAUGUACCAAAAUCUGGGACUGUGUAACACAGCAAAGGAAAAGACUCAUCUCCAGGAAGCCCCCUUGUCUAGGAAGAGAAAUUGAAUAUCAGCAUAAGGUGGUGAAAAGCUGUGAAGGAGAUGAGUGCCAGGAGUCCAUGGAGGAAGGAUUCUAGCCUGGACAGAUUUUAAUGGGGGAUGGGAAUAAGAAAUUCAGGGUACUGGAAACAUAAAAGGAAAAAGGAGGCCCUAAGAAGAAUCCCGAAGAAGAGAAGCUGGAGGCUGAGGGUUCAUUACUUUGUUGAGGGUGUUUCUUAUGACACCAAAUAAGACC
ensembl:lncRNA LINC01206 long intergenic non-protein coding RNA 1206